UUAAAUAAUUUGCUUGGUAAAAAUAGUGAGACUAAUUUUCUUCAAAAAAAUGGGACGUUAGGGUUUCCAUGUGGCGGGAAGGUCAAGCUACGCAAAAAAACGAGAGAAGGAGAGAGAGAGAGAGAGAGCAGAAAUCGAAGAAAUGGCUAACAAGCUGAUCAGCGAAAUCGGACUGCCAAGGAUUCUCCUACACAACAUUCAUCAGUCUGGCAUAUUUCUUAUUAAGACAUUUGCUGAAUUUUCACGAAUUCCUGUUGUGUUGACAAAUCAAGAGAGAUUUAAAAUCCAUGAGUCUGCCAAUAUUUUUUCCAAGGUCAAAGAUAAAUUAAGGUGGCUAAAUCUCCAAUAUCAUCGCCCAUGGCUUUCCCUUUUAUCAUAACAUCAUCUGGGAUGGUCACUGAGAUUCAUCUGGAAUUGAAUCUGUGAAGCUAUCACAAGUAGAUAAUGAAGAGAACUAAUGGUGUAGACCAAAGAUAUUCAUCACUUAAUAGGACGGAAUAAAUACGUACACAGUGAGCUGAUUUUUAUCUGUUGACUCGACAAAAUGAUGGUGAUCCUAGCAGUCUGCACCACUGAUUAUUGCAACACAUUGAAAUGCAGGCCAUGGUGACGUUAUUAAUUUUGAUGGGGAAAGGUUGCAGUUUAUUGGUCAGAUUUGAGGUUGGGAGAAGUGGUGGAAAUCCUGUUCUCACUCUGUCUCAGCAAAGGUUAUGUUUUCUUUCUUCAACUUAAAUGAUAAAAGUGAGAAACAUCUGAAGUAUCUUAGAAUAUAAAUUUCUGAAACUUUUUAUCUUUUAGCAACAUGGAGAUUAAGUGUAGGGGCCAUUGUCCAAUUUAAUGAUAAAAAUCUCAAGCUGCAAAGCCAAUUUCAAAGAAGGAAAUCUUGCAAAUAACCAUUUAGAUUGCAUUUGGUGCAGGGUUAGAAGAAUUGAGUAAAAAAUGCACGAGUAAAAUUAAGGGGUGAAGGAAUCUAGUAAAAGAUUAGGGCAGUAAAAUUUAAGCAUGUUUGGUACAGAAUAAAACAAUGAUGUGAUGGCAUAUAUUACAAUACUAUUUAUUUAUAAUGGUUGAAACUCAUGUAAGAAAAUUAAUUCAAGGAUGAGUGGAUUCUAAUAGCAAUGAAUAGAGAUGAAAUAAGAAAAAGAAUGCUCUCUUCUGACCCCCUUCAAUGGGUUAACAUUUAACCCUCUCGACCAAAUGAAUUGUUUAAGGGGUUGAACCGGUGUAACAAACAUAGCAAUGUAAAGUUGUUACAGGUAAUAGAACACCUCCCAAUUGCUACUCCUAAUUCUGCUUAGUGAUGACCUUUCAUCUUUGUAUGGUUUUCUGAUUCUAAACAUAUUUUAUUCUGCAAAUAUAAUAAGUGGCUGCUAUCCUGAUGUUCUGUACUCUGACCAAGCCAUUGCAUGGAAUAAACUUGUUUGCAAUUUCCCCCCUCUCUUUCUAUCUGAUCUUCCGCUUUUUCCACCCCAGAAUCCUACAUAGUGAGAAAAAUGAAAUGUUCUUAAAAGGAACUUGGCAUGGACAAGUUGCAAGAUACCAACCAAUUAAUUUUUUUGGUGGCAUAGAAUAGAACUUUGAAAGUCUAAGGAUUAGAAUAUCUGGAUGAUGGUAAAUUACACAUUGGCUUGUUAUGUGCAAUUGAGAAGGUUUCAGUUUCCACAUUUUUUUUUAAAUUCUGCUGGAUCAUGAAAAAGUUUACCAUUGUAUAUCUUGUUCGAUAUUUCUCAAACUGCCAUUCCUGAAAAUUUAGAUUGGAAUUGCCUAACAUGUUCCAGAAGUAAAAUAUUUGAAUAGACAAAUAUGGAACAGAAUAAUGUCUAUAUCCCUUUGGACCAAUUUUUAUGACAAUUUGUUGCACCAUUUGGAGUCAUGUUAUAAUGUUAAACUGUGUUAGAAGCUGCAAGGCAGAAAUUGUAUUGUCUACUUUAUUUUUGACAAAUGAAGGGAAUACCUACUACUUUGGUGUAUGAUCAGUUUAGUGAUAAUAUUAGAUCCUUAGUGCUUAUGUCAAGGAAUUUAAAGGAAGUGAUGUUUUACCUGUAACAAAGUGAAUGAUGGAAAUAGACACCAAUGAUUUUUCGCUCUGUUUUGUUUCAACAGAAGGCUAUUAAUAAAUGGUUGUAGUGGUGUUAUAUCUAGAUCAAUCAUACCAAGAGAUACAAAUAAGAAUAUCACAUUUAUUUAGGCUAAAAGUGUUGAAUAUAUUGGAGAACACACUAAUCACAUUUGGUGCGAAAGUUUCUUGUUUGGGCACUUUAGAAAAAGUUUUGGGAUGGUGCAUCAAGCAAACCAAGAAGCCAAGAAGCAAUUGGAUGCAGCUACUUUUGAUUAUAGAAAUGCUGAAGCUAUGUCCAUUUCUCUUACUUUUUUCUUGUAGACUAUGCUUGUAUGUCAAUGAUAAUGAUGACAAAGGAAACAUAUGAUUAUGCUAAGAUUUAUUUAUUCUAUGCUGGAAAGUGAGAUUAGGAUUAGCCAAUCCUCAUUCACUUGCAAAAGGAAAAGAUAUAAUUACAACUUUUUGUAUCCUUGGAGUUGGUGGGUUAUAUAGUAGAAGUUAGUGCACUGUUGUAAGCUAGGAUUCUCGUUAAUCCUGGCAAUGAUAGAGGGAAAUUCUUAUUUCUUUUUUGUCCCCUUUUCUGCUAAGGCUGAAGCUAUGUCCAUUUCUCAUACUUUUUUCUUGUAACUAUGCAUGUUUGUCAAUGACAAUGAUGACAAAGGAAACAUAUGAUUAUGCAUCUAAAAUUUGUUUAUUCUAUGCCGGAAAGUGAGAUUAGGAUUAGCCAAUCCUCAUUCACUCACAAAAGGAAAAGAUAUAAUUACAACUUUUUGUGUCCUCAGAGGGUUAUACAGUAGAAGAAGUUAGUGUACUGUUUUAAGCUGGAAUUCUUGUUAAUCUUGGCAAUGAUAAAGGGAAAUUCAUGUGUCUUUUUUGCCCCCUUUUCUGAUAAGAAGGUGUUUGUUACGAGGUUAACAAAGGGUAAUUGUUACUCUUGUAGUAACUUUUAACUUCUCAUUAAUAUUAUUUGGAUACUUAAAAGAGAUUAGGUUAACUUUUCACCUCGUUAAUAUUUAAGCCUUCUUGGGGGGUUAAAUAUUAACCUUGGGCGGCUAAGUUAAUAAUUACCCUCUUUAAAUAUUAAAACUUACAAGAGUAAUAUUUAACCAUUGAUUUUUUAACCUUCUACCUUCUACUAAACACACUGUGAGGCUUAAAAAGGAUAGUGCAGUAGUGAACUCAAGUAAAACUUGGAUACCGAAUGUAAAAGCUUUAACAAUUUGAGUUUUGGUAAUAACUGAUAUCCUGCAAUUAAGUUGGAAUCAAAUUUGAUCCUCAAUUAGAUAUUCAUUGUGCUUCAGAUCCUGUGGUUUUGACUUCAUUUUCCUCCCUUAUUUUCUCUGUACUUGAUUGAAAUAUCUUUGUAUGCUUGCCAGAAAAAUAGAUGCCUUUUUAUGUUGGGUGUUGCCACCCCCUUUCUUAAUACAACCUAUUUGUACUUUUUUGUGGCUUAUUGGUAACAAAUACUGUUGCUUAUUUACUAGCUGGAAUUUACAACAUAAGAGAUCCAAGGUAAGGACAGCUGAUGGGUUUUUGCCUUCUUAGAUUUGAAGGUAAGGGACCCACUUUUUCUUUGGACAUUUAUGCAGGAAAUAUGCUUAACAUGCUGCACAGGUCAUUAUGUACACUGAGGCUUUCCUUGUGGGGCUUUUCAGUUUAGCCCCACAGAGAUCAGCAUAAGAUCCAAAAUGAAUGGCCUUAGAGCCCUCUGGAUAUUAAUUGCUUACCUUUCCCUUAGUAUAGUUGCAUUAUUGUAUUUUCUUGAUCUGAGUCUGAUCUUCAACAAGAAUACCGUAGCAUGUACUCCAUCAAGAUUCAAACAAGUUGCUGUAGUUUAAUCUUUAAUCUUUGUAGGAACCAAGGAAAGGAGCUAGUAAAUUAUAUACAGCAUUUAAAAAAAAUAAAAGAAAAGGAGGUGAACCAUGCUUUUGUACCCUACAACCUUCUGGCAUUGGUUUCUAAAACAAGAGAAAAAGUCUUGGAAGAAACGCCAAAGAUUGUGCUUGUUUUUAAGGUUUGUUUAAUUUUCCCUCUUUAGGUUUUGAAUAUGGUAUGGUUCCUUUUGGACAUGUUGAGGAACUUUAAUCCUUUGUCUAUAUAAAAUUAGUUUGUUUGUAUAGCUGUUUGUGUUGUUUGAAAUGUGAAUCAUUCACCUAGCUAGUGACCAGCCAGACUUUGAUAUACAUAUGACUAUUUCAAAACCUUGGCUGGAUGAUGUGUUAUUGAACUUAUUUAGGUUCCAAACAGAUGCACCUAAAUCAUGUUAUAUUAAAUUAAUCUGGAUUAUGCUUUCAUUCUA